UUUAUAUUAUAUAAUUAAAUACUUAUUUUAACGAGCAACAAAAAUGCCCGUUACGAAUAAGUGCUUAUUUGCAACUAACAACUCUCCUACCCGUUACCAAUAGUCAUUAAAUUAUUUUUUUUUUUCAUUAAAUUUCAGCAACACGUAUUUAUAUAUAAUUAAUAUAUUAAUUAAAACCUAUUAUAAUAAACUUGUUCCUGUAAAUAAACAAUUAUACCGAACAAAAUUUCGUAAAAAUUAAUACAACAUAAUAUCAAAAUUUAAGUAGUAAAACAUUACAAAUAAAGAAUGCUUGCGAUUUGGAUUUUUUAAUCCAAUCUUAGGGAUCUACUGGGAGUUAAAUAUGUACAGUGAAACAAGACAUGAUAAAACCAAGGGAUUAUAAUAGUGCAGGAAUUCCUGUGACACUUCAGUAGUUCAAACAUCGACCAAUCUUCCAGAAAACAGGACCAGGUUAAGGAGAACAGCUAGGACUCCAUCAUCUUCAUAAGAAAUGCAGUCUCCAAGGCCAACUCUUUACUUCUCAUGUACCUGUUCUCUUCAACUAUCUCAGUUGUUAAGUUAAGCAGAAUAGGGCGAGCUGGGUCAUAUUGUACUUUCUCGGACACGUGCAGCCCAUUUCGCAGCUUCCCAUACGCCAAAUCUGAUUUUUGGAGCAGGAAGGAGGCAUAACAUAUAAAGGGGUGAAGUGGCCAGAUGGGAAGAAGUUUGAGGAUGUUUUUGUAGACACUCUGAAGAAGUAUGGUUACAAUGGCUCAUAUUUAUCUAAAGAUUGGCUAAAACAGCCUGGUUUCAUUCAAUCAUUCGCUCCAUUAUCAAUUGUCUACAUAUCAAAUAAUACAGAUUUGCCCAAAAUCUUGUUGAUUGAUAACACAACUUCGCGAAUAGAAGAUACUAACCAGACUUACUUUGAAGUCACUUCGAAUGCCUACUUUGACUACAUAAAGAAAUACGUAGUUGAUAUUGGGCGGGGGAAGGAUACAGUGGUUCCGGCAGUAAACAAUCAUCUACAAUCUCCUACUGAUCUGGUUGCCAGAGCACAUGCUCAUGGUCUUCAGGUGCAUCCUUAUACCUUUCAAAAUGAGAACAAAUACAUUCAUUUCGAGUUUCAUCAAGAUUUUUAUAUUGAAUUUGACUUCUGGAUAAACAAGAUGGGGGUGGAUGGCCUCUUCACUGAUUUCACAGGAAGCCUUCAUAACUUCCAAGAAUGGACCGCUCCUCUCUCUCCGGGUAUGGUGAAUAAACCAUGAUUAACAAUAUUACCAUCGCGUUGCAUGAGGUUUCUACAAACAGCGAAACUAGUUAUAGUUAUUAUUUGCAUCACCCAGGUUGUUUAAUAAACUUUUUAUCUAAGUAUCAAAACUAUUUAAAUUAUGUAGUGGGCAUGUAAUGACUAACAAUAAUAUUGGUGAAAAUGUUUGAUUUCAAAAUUAUAUAUAAAACAAAUAGCAAA